UUCUCCCCUAUAUAACAGACACUACUCUUUCACUGAAACUCACACCACUUCAGUAAGCACUCACCGAAUCUCUUCUUUCUUCCUCUUUCAUUAUUUUCUUUCCCUUCUUUCUUUUUUUUCUCGAUUUUCCUUCUUUUCCUUUCCUUCUUCUCCUCUCCUUUCCUCUUUCUUUCUUGUUCUUCCUUUUCUUUCGUCAGAGACACGAAGAGAGAUCGGGAGAGCAGAGAGAGAGAUUAAGAGGGAGAGCUGUGAAACUGAUUGAUAGGAGAGAAGAAAACUAAGAGAAAUUGGGAGAGAGAAUCUGAGGGAAACCCGAGAGACCCGUCGAACCCGAGUGAACCCAGUGACGAUAGGAGACCCGAUCCUCGUUGGGUCAUCACCAAUGGGCCAAAGGAAGCAAUUCCGAUGGCCUGGAGCAUGAUUUCCGAAGGUUUGAGAUCGGUUUCUGGCGAGUGAUGUAGAAGAGACUCGUGAUCAUUUUCACCAUCUUUCUUGAUGGAUUUUCUGGUUCAGAGCUUCCCCCCAUUUUUUCCCUCCCUCUCUCCAUUUGCCCAUUUUCUUCCCACCGUCGACCGCGAAGAACGACCCGCCACCGUCGUUCUCCAUGCACGACCCGCCACCGCCGUUCUCAACGUACGACCCGGCGUCGCCGUUCUCAACGCACGACCCGCCGUCUCCGUUCUCCACGCACGACCCGCCACCGCACUACCCGGCACCGUCGUUCUCAACGCAUGACCCAACUCCGUCGUUCUUCCAGUUCCGGCAGCGACCAUUCGUUCUCCACCGUCGUUCUCCACCUCCAGCCAAAACUUAGGGUUCCGGCGACCCAUUUUCGGCCCAGAACGACCCGCCACCGCCGUUCUCAACGCACGACCCAACUCCGUCGUUCUUCCAGUUCCGGCAGCGACUAUUCGACCAUUCGUUCUCCACCGUCGUUCUCCACCUCCGGCCAAAACUUAGGGUUCCGGCGACCCAUUUCCGGCCCAGAUUUCCCCCAUUUCCGGCUCUGCUUCAGAAGCCAAUACCCAAAAGCUUGAGCUUCUAGAUCCUUGAACCGGGGGAGCAGAUUUUUGCGUUGAUUGGGGAUCUCAUCGAGCUCGGUUCAGCUCAUUUCCUUUCCAGGCACAAGUAAAUGUCUACAACAAGUGAUUUGUCAAGCGGUCAUCCGUUAUGUAAGUGUGGAAUUCCUGCACGUCUAAGGUACUCUUGGACCACAUCCAAUCCCGCUAAAAAGUGGUAUGGAUGUAAUAACUACAAGCCGGUGAUUGUGAUUUUUUUGAAUGGGAUAAGAAGAUGUCUGCAUACGAGAAGGGAUUAGCGCAAUAUCUGAAAGAGAUGGAGGAGAGAAGACAGGCUGACAAUGACAAAGUUGAGGAAUUAAUUGAAAAAAAAAUGCAAGGAACAAUUAGCGCAACAUUUGAAAGAAAUGGAGGAGAAAGUUGAGGAAUUGAUUGAAAAAAAAUGUAAGGAACAAUUAGCGCAACGUAACGAGAAGAUGUUUCGUGUUUUGUUGUUAGUUGUCAUUUUGCUGUUAGCCUUUUAUUUUUGUAGUUAUAGUGAACUUAGACAUACUAACUUGAUGUUAAAAUGAAAUUAUGAAAACAAUUCAGUUGUAAAAGACUUUUGACUUUUUUCUGUUUGUACGAAUUUCCUAAAUGUAUGUUAAACUUAAUUGAUGACUGUGAC